rnacentral:rRNA from 1 species
ACGCUCGACACCUACGGGAGGCAGCAGUGGGGAAUAUUGGGCAAUGGGCGCAAGCCUGACCCAGCAACGCCGCGUGAAGGAAGAAGGCUUUCGGGUUGUAAACUUCUUUUCUCAGGGACGAAGGAAGUGACGGUACCUGAGGAACAAGCCACGGCUAACUACGUGCCGGCAGCUGCGGUAAUCUGAGCGGGCUGGCAAGGC